rnacentral:misc_RNA from 1 species
AAGUCGUAACAAGGUUUCCGUAGGUGAACCUGCGGAAGGAUCAUUACAAAUCUUUGGGGCUGGUCGCCGUGAAUAGCGGUGUACUGGUUUCACAUUAGCACAAGGUCGCAAGGCCUUGAUGUUUACGCUUGUUUGUUUGACAGAGUUAGUUGAGAAAUAUAAAGACAACUUUUAACAAUGGAUCUCUUGGCUCUU